rnacentral:rRNA from 1 species
AGUGAACGCUGGCGGUAGGCCUAACACAUGCAAGUCGAACGGCAGCACAGUAAGAGCUUGCUCUUACGGGUGGCGAGUGGCGGACGGGUGAGGAAUACAUCGGAAUCUACUUUUUCGUGGGGGAUAACGUAGGGAAACUUACGCUAAUACCGCAUACGACCUACGGGUGAAAGUAGGGGAUCUUCGGACCUUGCGCGAUUGAAUGAGCCGAUGUCGGAUUAGCUAGUUGGCGGGGUAAAGGCCCACCAAGGCGACGAUCCGUAGCUGGUCUGAGAGGAUGAUCAGCCACACUGGAACUGAGACACGGUCCAGACUCCUACGGGAGGCAGCAGUGGGGAAUAUUGGACAAUGGGCGAAAGCCUGAUCCAGCCAUACCGCGUGGGUGAAGAAGGCCUUCGGGUUGUAAAGCCCUUUUGUUGGGAAAGAAAAGCAGCAGGUUAAUACCCCGCUGUUCUGACGGUACCCAAAGAAUAAGCACCGGCUAACUUCGUG